rnacentral:lncRNA from 1 species
AGUCUUCUCCCUCGUUCUCACUCUUGCAUUCUCUCUCUCUCAUUUAUCCCUAAAACGAUUUUUUUGCGAAUUUUGGGUUUAUCCCUAAAUCGAGAUCAAGAGAUGAAGAAUCCCUAAAUCGAGAUCAAGAGAUGGAGAAUAUAUGAGUACCUUGAAUCAAAACAUAUAAUCGCGGUGAUAAUCGGAAAAAUCGAGAGGUGGUGGUGGUGGCGAUGGCGUGGCCCCGGUGAGAAAUAGGUGUCGACACUCGACAGUGAGAGAGGUGUUUGAUUUUUAGGGGUGACCUUACCCUCUACUGCAACAAUCAAAUCAUUGUAAUAACUAUCAGGUACCGAUCGAGGUGAUCUACGCAGCUCCAUUUCCAUGAUUCUGUGAGUUUUUUGUAUCAAAUAAUACUCUAUAUUGUAUACUUCUCACUUUUAGUUAAUACUUGCAAUGUUUUCUUUCCUCUGUAAAUGAAGAGUCCCACAAAAUGCAUCUGUUGCAUUUAGUAUCAGAAAUUCGAUCAAAACCCAACUGGGUUUUCUUCAAACAAUGAAUACAGUAGUAAUCCCCAAUUGUUCCUCAUCAUCAAGAAAAAUAGAAAAAAAUAGUAAAGCAGAGUCUUUUACAGUUUCUUACCUCAUAAACUCAUGUGGGUUGUCUCCAGAAGUUGCUAUCUCUAGAGCCCGUAUGGUUAAGUUUCAAUCUAAAACUAAAACAAACCCAGUUCAUCAUUACUCGCCAAAUUGAAAUUUUCCCACAAAUUUUUUUCCCAAAACUAAAACAAACCCACCGAGAUUACUGCCAAAAAGGAUUCACCAACUGAGCCCCACCACACCUCCUCCGUUGAUAGAAAGAGAAAGAAGAGAUGAGAAGAGAAGAGAAGUGAAGAGAAAAGAUCCCUGCGAUCCAAUCCAGAUCAGACAAGCCCAAAAACUCCAAAACCUAAUCGAACUGAAGUAUCAGAAAAACAAGCUCCCUGCUCAAGGAAGACAUUUUUGCCUCUAAUCGGACUCCAAAACCUCGCAGAUCCACACUCUAAAAUCAGUGAUUCAAAACUCGCAGAUCGAAAGGAGAAGAGUUUGCAGAAAUUCGUGACGGGUCGUUUUUAUCAAUUCGAGAAUCAGAGUGGGUUUGAA